UUAGAAGCUGUAUUUUUCUGUUUGUUUUUCUAUCCAUUUGGUCCUUACUUGAUUCAAUCAGGGGAUUGAAUCAAGGGUGUAAAGGUUUGUUGGUGAGCCUAGGUUGAAACCAACGUGUAAGGGUUUGAUUGUGAUCCCGGAAAAACAAUCGGGUGGUUCUAGUCGGUGAGCCUGGGAAAACCGACCGAGUUCGUUGUGAUCUCGUAAAACAAGUAGUUAGGUUGUGAGCUUGUAAAACAACCGGCUGUAAUCCGAGGGGUUAUAGUGAAUUCCCAAGUGAGGCUUGGGGAGUGGACGUAGGAGCAAGGGUUAGCUCCGAACCACUAUAAAAUCAUUGUGUUUGUGAUUGCUUUGUUGUCUCUUACUUUCAUUCCAUUCACUGCACAUAGCAUCUAAUUAAUCAACUUGCAAAAAGUAUUAAUUAGUUAUUCACAAACCAUUUAAUUGCAAUAAUUAUUUUAAAACCCAAUUCACCCCCCCCUCUUGGGUUGUCUAUCUGGGCAACACGAACCGUGUGCUAAGUGUGCCAAUGGUGCGCCAAGCUUGCCAAUGAUGUGCCAAAUAUGCUAGGAUCGGCUCCAAUUCUUCUGGGGUCGACUCCAACUCUGUGCCAAAUGUAUCAAGGUGUGCCACAGCAUGCCAUAGGGUGCCAAAUGUAUCAGAGUCGACUCCAAACUUCCUAGGGUCGACUCUAACUCAAUUGGGAUGAUUAGGGGGCUUAAAUCAAUACACUUACCAUGUUUUUACAAAAGACGUAACAUUGAAAUAAUAAACGUAAGAAAAAGCAAAAAGGAAAAAUGAGGUGCUAAGAAAGGCUGUGCUAUGGGGUGUAUAGGCC
rnacentral:lncRNA from 1 species